AUGCUGCCAGUCAAUCCUACACAGUAUUAAGUCUUAAAAUUCCCAUUAUGCUGUAUAUGGGAUGAGCUACUAUCAAGCUACACCUUAAUUAUAUUGCACUUCCCGUGUUUAUCACUGAACUUUAUUUUUUAAAUGUUGUUAAUGUUUGUAUAGCUAUGACCUACCUGCUUGGGAUGCGAUCAUCAGAGCAGUGUUACCUUCGUUGUCCUGCUGAUUUAUGUCUAUAUAGGGACAGGUGUAGAGUCCAUGCACAAUGUCAAUGAAACCUUUGCAGCAAGCCAACAUCAAGCCAUUCUGUUUGGGAUUUACAACGAUAAGGAUUAAUGCCUGUGUUUUUGUUUACGAUAAUGUGAGCUAUGAUUUACAGAUUCUGAAUAUACACAUUAAUGAACGAGACUCUCACCCAGCCAUUGAUGUCCAGCUCUGUGGCCUCCUCUUUUGUGACCCCCCUCUCCAGAAUUCUUCUCAGAGCAAAGGGUUCGUUGCGGGCGCAUGCUCGAUAAAGUGUCGGCUCCCCACGGCUGUCUGUCCUCUCCGGCGUGUAGUCUGGGAGCACCGAGUCGUCAGAGAGGAUGCUGUCUGAAUCAGACUCGCUCCCCAACAGAGACUCAUCGUCCUCAUCUGUGCCGGAGCCCAGGUGGGGGUCAUGCGCUGCAGUGGCCAUCUUCCAAGAGCAGGACAGACUGAAAUUAGCCCAUGGGACCUGUGGGACGUGGCUGGACCUGUUGGGACAGAUUGACCCUCCUUUUACCCAGAAGGGCCUGAGGACACAUCCCUCUGCAGCUGAACAGCUGUCCUCAUCUGCCCGGAGGAGAAGAAGACCUGGUACAGAGCAGAGGUUUCAGACACCAGCCGGGAGAAACUUGUAUCCGAUGAAAACAAUCAGGACAUCCAGACGCCGUUCAAGUGGGCCAGAAGGACCAGUGUGG